rnacentral:rRNA from 1 species
CCAAACAUCUAGCCCACCCACCACCACUCAUAUGUAACCCAAACAAAACAUUUUCACCCUUCAGUAAGGGAGACUGAAAGAUUUACAAGCGCUUCAGAUUUAGUACCGAAAGGGAACGAUGAAAUAGUAAUGAAAUAACUAUAAAGCCUUUUAUAGCAAAGUUUACCUCUUGUACCUUUUGCAUCAUGGUUGAGCUAGUUCAAUUAAGCAAAAAGCAAUUUUUAGUUAAACCCCCCGAAACUGGGUGAGCUACUUCAGAAUAGUCUUUAGGACGAACCCGUCCCUGUUGCAAAAGGGUGGGAAAAUUUUUUAGUAGCAGUGAAAAGCUAAUCGGACCCAGAGAUAGCUGGUUAUCCAAGAAAAGAAUAUAAGUUCUACCUUAAGUUUUACUAUAUUAACAAAUAAAAUACUAAACUUAAGAGCUAUUCAAAUAAGGUACAGCUUAUUUGACAAAGGACACAACCUCUUAUAUAGGGUAACAUUUUGAACCCCAUAAGUAGGCUUGAAAGCAGCCUAAAACGCGUCAAAGCCUUCCAACACUUUACCAUAAAUACCAUUCACUAUCAUUAACCCUCCCUCACUAUUGGAUGACUCCAUAACUUAUGGAAGACAUUAUGCUUAAAUCAGUAACAAGAAUUUGAAAUUCUCCUAAUGUAAGUAUCAGCCGUAACGGACCCACCAACGGCAAUUAACGUCAAUAAACCUAGUUCAACAACACUCAAGAAAAACCUGCACAACCUAACGUUAACCUUACACAAGAACAUUUUAGGAAAGAUUAAAAGGGGAAGAAGGAACUCGGCAAAUAACAACCCCGCCUGUUUACCAAAAACAUCGCCUCUUGCUGGAAUAUAAGAGGUCUAGCCUGCCCAGUGAUCUUUAAACGGCCGCGGAACCCUAACCGUGCUAAGGUAGCACAAUUACUUGUCCUUUAAAUGGGGACCAGAAUGAAUGACAUCACGAGGGUUGUACUGUCUCCUCCCCCCAAUCAGUGAAAUUGACCUCCCUGUGAAAAGGCAGGGAUAAAAAUAUUAGACGAGAAGACCCCAUGGAGCUUUAGACACCGAACAAAUCCUGACCUACACUCCCCCUAGUCUAAAAUAUGUGUUUCCAAGUCUUCGGUUGGGGCGACCAUGGAGUAUAAAUCAACCUCCACGCCGAAUGGAUAAUUCCUUAUCUAGGAACACCCCCCUAAGAAACAGAAUACUGACGCUCACUGAUCCGGAACCCGAUCAACGAACCAAGUUACCCUGGGGAUAACAGCGCCAUCCAUCUUGAGAGUUCAUAUCGACAGGUGGGUUUACGACCUCGAUUGUUG